rnacentral:rRNA from 1 species
UACGGAGGGGGCAAGCGUUGUUCGGAAUCAUUGGGCGUAAAGGGCGCGUAGGUGGCCAUUCAAGUCGGGUGUGAAAUCCCUCGGCUCAACCGAGGAACUGCAUUCGAUACUGCUUGGCUAGAGUCCGGGAGGGGAUGGUGGAAUUCCCAGUGUAGCGGUGAAAUGCGUAGAUAUUGGGAAGAACACCGGUGGCGAAGGCGGCCAUCUGGACCGGCACUGACACUGAGGCGCGAAAGCCAGGGGAGCGAAUGGG